AGUUUGGCCAACAGUUUUACUUGCUGGUGUUCGUUAUUUUUUUCAUGUUUCAAAGUUGUUCUCAUCAGCGAUUGGUUGAAAUCUAGUCAUGUGAUUGAUGCAAGAUCCAAAUUAGGGAUUGAAACCAAACUGACCUUAAUAACGGCGUUAAGUGAUACUGAAUGCCGUAAAUUACGGCGCUUAUUGACAUCAGCGACUUCGGCUUACAGGGGAAACAGCGUUUUGGAUGGCGGGUUACUGGGGAACGGCGUAUUUUGCAUGUCAUUUGACGCCGUAAUGUGUCAUUAUUUGACUCACUUGGCCUUACAUAAGCGUUGCUAACAGGCGAACACGCUUAUUUAACAGACGCGGACGUAUGCUUAACAGCCGUAGGCGCUAAACAAUAGCGUUCUGAACGCAUGAAUUCUGACCCCUUUGGCGUUCCAUAGUUUAUGUGCAUAGUAGAAGUGUUGGUAGGAUCCGACAUAGACAUCAUAUAUAAAGGCUAGACGUCUAAUGGCGCAGUCACUUCCGGCAUCACUGGUGGCCAUCUUGUCACAGGCAGGCUUCCUGGCGGGCUCUGUGGUACCUGAUGUAAGGUUCAGCGAGGACCACUUGGAGCUUCUCUUCAACUCCAUCAGAGCAUCUGGUAGGGUUCAUAAUUUAUAUUUACCAGCUGCAACACUAAGGGACACAGUGUCAGCAAAUGCUUGUAUUGUUUUCAGUUUGUCGGUCCAUAUGUUUUUUUUUUACUUUUGGUAACAUGUUUUCUGAAGACAUACACCCUAACCCUAAGACAUACACAAUACCUGGAAGUGUCACAAACCAUUUUGAGUAUUUAGAAAAAUGCCUGUGUUUGACUAUUUGUUUGCAGAACUUAUCACUGAUACAGUCUGAAUUGUAUGAUAAUGUCAUUCAACCUAUUUUAUGUGGAAAGAUCUUUCAGGGGUGGCUAGUUCUAAUUAGUCUUUUUUUGUAAAAAUGUUUUAAGCAAAAACAUUUUAAAGCAUGUAUUGAAUAUCUGUGUACUAUACUUGUAUCUUUUUUAUUCAUUUAUUUAUUUAUUUUUUUAAAUGAUGGCUGGAAUAACAACCCUAAUGCCAGCCAGUUCAAGUACAUCUUUAGGCUGUAAAGCUGAUUGCCUCUGCAUGGUUUAACAACCCCACACUGGGCCAUGUGACGGCACAGGAUGACACAGAGUCCCUACCAGCUGUCAUCGACACCUCUACAAGCUUGUCAGCUGUAGAUGUGUCCUCUGCAGCAGGAGGAGAAGAUCUUCCAUCCCCGUUUGCUGACAUUUCUGCCCUAGUACAUGAUCACAGCUACCUUCCCUGUCCACUUUGAUGGUCUUGUGGACAACGCUGUCAUGUACAUUUCAGGUGAAGGCUAACUGAAAGUUGAUUUUCCCCUAUAACCAAAAGUGCCAGUAGUCACAAUCUGGGGAAAAACAAUCUCACGAUUGUCCAAAAAGAGAAGUGUUCCCUUAAUUUCCCCAUGCUUAUUAAUGAUUAUUGUUAUAAGUUAUGAUAUUACUAACUCAAAUUUCAGGAUUUGUUGUGCGACAGGCUCUGAAGAAGCUGUCGUGUGAUGUCUGCCGUGCCAGCCUGGUGACAGAUGCUGCAUCUGCCAUCAAGGACCAGAGAUACCACCUGCUGACUUUAAAAACAAUGGAGGUCUGGUGAUUCCAUCAGAGGGAACCGUGAGGGUCGUCAGGGCAGCACAGUGGGUCAUUCGGCAGUCAUCAGGCAGUACCAGACAAUCACAGCCCAUCAAACUGCUUGAGGUUGUUUACAUUGUCUGAAAAAGGAUCGGUUCAGAGGAUGUUUGUGUUGGGAUAGACAGCCAGCACUAUAGGCUGUUAAAAAUAAUUCUGUCCCUGUUUUUUAAGUUAAAGCUGCACCACAUCGUCAGAAUUACAAUCCUCAGCUUACAGAGCAACAACAUGCAACAGAAACCUAAUAAAACUGUCCUUUUCAAAGGGCAUUAGCCCAAGGUAUGUGUUUUCAAGGUACUGUCCUCUUUUACUUCAACAGUAGUGUAGUUCUCUCUACAGCAUUUCUUUUUUGGAUAUUUGUAAAGGGG
ensembl:lncRNA